AACGAACGCUGGCGGCAUGCCUAACACAUGCAAGUCGAACGAAGGCUUCGGCCGUAGUGGCGCACGGGUGAGUAACGCGUGGGAAACUGCCUAUUGGUGGGGAAUAACGACGGGAAACUGUCGCUAAUACGGCAUAAGCCCUUCGGAGGAAAGAUUUAUCGCCGUUAGAUGUGCCCGCGUCCGAUUAGCUAGUUGGAGAGGUAAUGGCUCACCAAGGCGACGAUCGGUAGCUGGUCUGAGAGGUUGAUCAGCCACAGUGGGACUGAGACACGGCCCAGACUCCUACGGGAGGCAGCAGUGGGGAAUAUUGGACAAUGGGCGAAAGCCUGAUCCAGCAAUGCCGCGUGAGUGAUGAAGGCCUUAGGGUUGUAAAGCUCUUUCGGGUGGGACGAUGAUGACGGUACCACCAGAAGAAGCCCCGGCUAACUUCGUGCCAGCCGCCGCCGUAA
rnacentral:rRNA from 1 species